CUGGGAGUGUGCGUGCUCAGGAACAGCCGGUGCAGGCCGCGUUGGCACAGAUCUCACAGGGGUCUAUAGGACUGAUGAUUUUCACUGUUGACAAAGCAUUAAAAAGGAUGAUUGGCAUUGCAGACACGCUCACAGGUGACAACAGACACUCCAACAUGCUCGUAACACAACACACGAAUCUCACGUUUAUCAGGAACAUAUUGACGUGAGGCAUAAAGAGAUGCGCCGUGAGCAGUGAGAAGAAAUCAGGACAGUGGGAAACAUAAAUGUGCUCUAAAUUAUAAUUGUGCAGUGGGUGGUGGUGCAUGACAGAUUAGGGUUCACCAUCUGCCCAGCAGAGGACAUCACCAGGCCCACUCCAGACCCAGAGCCCAGCCAGCCAUCACCUCGCAGCACGGACAUGAUGCCAGAGCCCACCACAGACAGAGAGCCAGAGCCUGCCACGAUGGAUAUGUCAGACAAGAGGACUGAGCCCAUCAUGGCCCUGGAGCCCGAGCCCCACAAAUUGUCUGACCAGGUGUGUGAGCAGACAACAUCAUGUGUCGCCGUGGAAUUACGUGGUACGAGGGAAUGGAGGAAGACCCCGCCCACACUCCAAUUGUGUAUUUCUGUUUUUACGUGCAUCAUUCAUUGCAAAUGUAAAUGUUUUUUUUACAUAAACUAAUGUUAAACAAAUUGCAAAUGGUCCAUAUAAGAUGAUGCAGAUAAAAGGGAUGAGCAUGAAGACCAUUUACAAUGAUUUUCAGUGAAGUUCAUUUCUAAUCUAAUUUUAUUGAUCAUGUGAGAUGCCCUUUGGGGAAUGGAAGUCCAAAUAAGGGAUAAAAUUUGUUUGCUAUAAAAUUCAUAUGAUUAAACUCUCACCUGUCUUCAUGAUGCUUGACUUCAGGCUUCUAUGGGGCAGAUCUUG